CGCACAUUGCACUCCUUGGUAUUCCGGGGAGUAUGCCUGUUCGAGCGUCAUUACACCCUUCAAGCUUUGCUUGGUAUUGGAAUUCAUCAUUCGAUGUUUCUGAAAAAUAGUGGCAAUUGAUAUAAUCUCAAGCGUGGUGAAAUUUUACGUUUCGAGUGUUAUCUCAGUUCGCCAACAAUCAGAGUAAAAAACUCUGUCUUCAAUAAUUUGACCUCGGAUCAGGUAGGGAUACCCGCUGAACUUAA
rnacentral:misc_RNA from 1 species